UACGUAGGGGGCGAGCGUUGUCCGGAUUUAUUGGGCGUAAAGAGCGUGUAGGCGGCCAGGUAGGUCGGUUGUGAAAACUGGAGGCUUAACCUUCAGACGUCGACCGAAACCAUCUGGCUAGAGUCCGGAAGAGGAGAGUGGAAUUCCUGGUGUAGCGGUGAAAUGUGCAGAUAUCAGGAAGAACACCCGUGGCGAAGGCGGCUCUCUGGGACGGUACUGACGCUGAGACGCGAAAGCGUGGGGAGCGAACAGG
rnacentral:rRNA from 1 species